rnacentral:piRNA from 1 species
UGUCCAGGCAAUGACAUGUGGGUGCCAAG